UCAUAUUUUAAAAAAUCCUUUAUUACCAAAAAGUAAUCAUUUAAGUUUCUCGAAUGAAAAACAUAACAAUGUACUGAUACAAGCUAUUUUUAUUGUGUGAAAAUGUCAUAAUUCAUAGUGAUUAAGAAUGAAAAGGCAGCAUAUAACAAAAUAGGCAUUUUACUUGUUAAAAGCCACGUGGAUUUACAAAACUAAAAAUAUUUUUAGAAUGUGUUAAUAAUACAAAUUAAUUUUUGAGAUAUAUAAAACAUUCUAUUUUACCAUAUAUUUAAUUUCAAAAUCUUAAAAAUGAUUUUAUUAAAUGAACUCAGUAAUUAUUGUACACUAAUCACUGGUAGGAGUGGUACAAAAAUUUUAAAGAUAUAUGUAUUCCCAAACAAGAUGAAUAGUAAAAAUGCAAAAGUAUGAGUUCAGGUUUUAAAAAAUGAACUAAUAUAAAUUUUACAACAAGGAACCAAGAAGAUAUACAAGCCAGUUUUUUCUCUAAUGCCAAUACAAAAUGUACAUUCUGUCUUCUUGUGUUACUUUUCCUUAUACUUUAGUCACCUAUCAAAUUUGUUAUGAAUUUUGUAUCUGAAAUAGAAUGCUUUCUACUCAGUGUGCUAGGUAAGUUCCAUGUACAAAACUCCAAAAAAUUGUAUAUGAUGCUCAAAAUG
rnacentral:lncRNA from 1 species